GACAGCUCCAGCCAUAGGAAUUUUUUGCUAUAUGGAUUAACCAUGAGAGUGGAUUACAUCAGACCAACAAAGGAAGAAGAUUUUAAGUAACAAGUGUCAGCAAGAAGAAGCUUUAUCACAUGACUAUCAUACAGCUUCACGUGAUAAGCGAGAUGGCGGUGCCUUCUUGGUGUCUGUUGCUUGUGGUAUUGCUGCCCGCUGCCGGCCGGGCUCAGAGCCCCGUGGUGUCGGUUAUCCUGGACCCGCAGACAGGGAAUCUCAGCACCGUGCCGGAGAAGAGGACCGACGCCGUGGCUUGGGCAGUGCUGAAGGACGGCAUCCAGGAGAAUGGAUGGGCUGUUCUGGAACUGGAGAGCAAUAAGAAUUAUAAUGACAGCAUCCAGGCUUAUGCUGCAGGGGUGGCCGAAGCUGCGGUUUCUCAGCGGCUUAUCUACAUGCACUGGAUGAAUACAAUGGUUAAUUACUGUGGCCCUUAUAAGUACGAAACUCCAUACUGUGAGAGGUUGCGGGCUUAUCUGCAGGCUAACCUAGCCUGGAUGCAGGAACAGAUGGAAAAAAGUGAAGACCAGGAGUACUGGCACCAGGUUCGGCUUGCUCUCCUGCAGCUGAAGGGCCUAGAGGACAGUUAUGAUGGCAUCAUCUCCUUUCCCCAAAAAAAGUUCACACUGAGUCCCUUUGGGUUCCUGCUCUUCCAGCUUGGGGGUGACUUAGAAGAUCUGGAAGCUGCUCUCAACAAUUCAGAAGCUCAAUCACCAUUUGGAUCGGGGUCAUGCUCUGCACUAAUUAAGCUUCUUCCUCGGAAUAAAGACCUCUUGGUGUCACAUGUUACUUGGAACACCUACCAAUCCAUGCUGCGCAUCAUCAAAAAGUAUACACUUCCUUUCCGCACAUCUCCCAAGGGGGGCACUGUGGUACCGGGCUGGGCUCAGACAUUCUCCUCCUACCCAGGCACCAUCUUCUCUGGUGAUGACUUCUACCAGCUGAGCAGUGGUUUAGUUACAUUGGAGACCACCAUUGGGAACAGCAAUCCAAAUCUCUGGAAGUACAUUCAGCCGCAAAACUCUGUCCUGGAGUGGCUCCGGAACAUUGUAGCUAACAGAUUGGCCACAGGAGGACAAGAAUGGGUGGAUAUCUUCAAGAUGUUUAAUAGUGGAACAUAUAAUAACCAGUGGAUGAUUGUGGAUUACAAUAAAUUUCAUGCUGGAGCUGCAGAGGUACCCAGUGGACUUCUCACCAUCCUAGAACAGAUUCCAGGGAUGGUGAUUGCAGAGGAUAAAUCUGAUCUUCUUUACCAAACCGGAUAUUGGGCCAGUUACAAUGUUCCGUACUUCACAGAGAUUUUUAACGCAAGUGGACAGGCAGCCCUUGUGGAGCAGUAUGGAGACUGGUUUAGUUAUUCCAAAACACCCCGGGCCCAGAUAUUCCACAGGAAUCAGACCUUUGUGCAGGAUUUGUCCUCUAUGGUGAAGCUCAUGCGAUACAAUGAUUUCCUUCACGAUCCUCUUUCACGCUGUGAAAGUUGUACUCCCAAGCAGAAUGGGGAGAAUGCAAUCUCUGCUCGGUCUGAUCUUAACUCAGCUAAUGGUACUUACCCAUUUGGAGCUAUGCGACAGCGGCAACAUGGAGGCACAGAUAUGAAGGUGACUAGCUAUGACUUUGCCAAGCGUCAUAUAAUGAUGGCUGUGAAUGGUCCUACAUGGGAUCAGGUUCCCCCAUUUGAAUGGAGCACAUCGCCAUUCCGCAAUCUCACGCACAUGGGUCACCCGGACCUCUGGAAAUUCAAUCCCAUUGUCAUCCGUUGGGAUUAAGAUGCUGAUUUUUGUGCUAGUCUGGACUUGAGUUUAACUGGUAUCAAUUGACCAUCUCAAUAUGGAUUCCAGUGUUUGGCCACUGUUUGCCAAAGAUGAGAAAUCCUAUUGUUGGUUGAAAGAACGGAGUCUCAUCAAUUCAGAGCCGGCCUAAUUUCCCCAAGAAAACAAGGUCACGUUGUUCUCUACAAAAAACAAUCCCAAAAAGAUACCGGUACUUACAUCAUUUUUGCAGCCUCUGUGCUAAAUAUCUAUGCAAUGUAUGUUUUUGAAGCUGCUACACUUGGGCAAUACUUGCUAGUCUAUUACAUACUGAUUAUGUGUUUAUUUUUUUCAAUAUAUAAAAUGUUCUCGUUUUGAAAGUGGUGUUUUUUUUUAAUUUUUUGUUUGUUUUU